rnacentral:lncRNA from 1 species
CGCCCCUUCCGGGAGAUCUCCAUGGGACCUCUGGGCCAGGAAAAUUGGAAUGGGUUUCAAUGGAGAGAAAGUACUUAUUUUUAUCAUACCAAUUAUUGUCAUUAUAGGAUUUACAUUUGUUUAAAGCAAUGAAGCCUUCAAUAAGUUGUGUUGAUGGAUAGUACAUACUCCCACUUGAUAUUCUUUCCACAGGAAGCUCAUUUUUAGGUUGGAUUCUUGUCAAGAGAUUUCUGCAGUAGUAGUGAAAAUGUAGACUUUAUUUAAAUCCUUUAAUUAUAAAGACCUGUAACUCUUUUUCACUUGUGUUUAUUUGUGACUCAUUUUCUCAUUUUCUCCUUCCUUUGCCAGGGCAUCUGGACCAGGUACAGCAGUGCCUGUACCUGGCCCAGUGUAGGCACCGGCCUGUGGUGCAGCCCCCCUCGGAGACCACAGAGAAGUACGAGCAGCUAGCUGAACUCCUAGAGGUAAGCAGGACCCUUCAGAAUCAGAACACUGUCAAUGGGUGGAUUGUAUAAUUCAUUCAUCCAAUAUGGCGUGUAAGGAGAUUAAAGGACCUUCUGUUAAUGUGAAGGGUUCAAUUCGAAGCCUUCGAGAAAAAUAUGUUUUUAGAAUUUAGGAAGCUAAACAUUUGUGUGGCCAGCAUCUUUAACCCAGAGAUCCUUUUGUGGGUUUUUUCAGGCAUGUCUCCAAAUGGACUCUGCCAACAGGUCCAGCUGCUCUGAGCUGCUCGGCCAGGAUUAUUUCACCUGGGAGCAUUUCCCUGACAGGUUCACCAAAGAGAUGGAGCUCAUGGUCCAGAGGGACUGUGAAUGCUGCGUGCCUCCUCAGACUGGUACCCAGCAAGCCUCCACUCCUUCAGACAACUCCACACGUCCCUCUGUACAUUGAUCCAACCACACAUCAGGCUGUGAAUGUGGUGGAGAUGGGGACUCCCUCCAGUCAGCUCUAGGAUGGGAGCCAUGCGAUGAAUAACCUCGAGGGGGCCCAGCAUAAGCCUCCUCAGACCAGAGGUAUGUCUGCGGAGCCCCAGAUCAAGACCCCUCAGACCAGAUGAGGAACUAUUAGGUAACCCAAUAAUCCAAUUGGUUACGGGAUGAGUACUUCCUUCACUCGUUAACAAAAAUAGUCUGGCCCCCAAUCAAAGGUUUUAUGGUCACGACUACCUUGACGAACGAUUGGUUUGGUUCCAGGCUUAAAAGUCUUUAUAGAACGAUUUGACGAAAAGUCAAUGGAGAAAAUGAAUGGGAAAUUUAUUUCCAGAACCAGAGCUGUUCAAAAAGGGGGCGGGCACUGUUGCGCUCUAUUACUGCCGGUGACCUCGAGUGAGUGACAGGAGGCGGGGCUAUGUUGGCGCUGUAGCGAUGCGUGUCUGUUAACUCCCUGUCAGAGAGAAGAGAGCGAGAUAGAGCAGCUGAUAUUUGUGUAUUGAUACUGCAGAGAAUAAAUAUUGAAAGCGGCUAAAAAAUUAUUAUAUAUUUUUGCACUACUAGAUGUAAGCCAACAGUAUACAUUGAGAUGAUCAUGUGUUAGUGGACAUUCUUUCCCAGUGUACCUAGUUGAGAUCCUGUAAUAAACUAUGUGAAACUACUAUUUGAUCUGAACUGGGCUUUAGUCAAUCAGUCUAAACCUAUUUCAUCGUCCUUUUAAGGAGUGC